UCUACCUUCCUAGAAAAUAAAAUUGAUCUUUUAACCAAAGAUUUGUACUCAAUGAACAGUAUGUAUCAACUGGAGAAAGAAUCAUGGAUUAAAAGGAUUGAAAAUAUGGAGACAAGAAAAAGCGACAUCUCACAAUCGUGAUUUCAACAAGAAGAAUCGAUUAACUUCGAUAAACUCUGUUAAACUAAACCAGCAUAUUACUCCCGAAACAAAAACCUAGAUCAGAAACUUUGUUCAUUGAAACCCUAGUUUUUUGAUCUUUAAACUAAGAAACAUCAAUUGAUUCUCCAUAUAAACUUUGUUAGCCUUAAAAUUACGCGCUCACGAAGAACAACUGUAAGUCAAUGGCGAAGAAUCGUCAUCAGCGACUGAAUCUGAAAGAUUCAUCAACAAAACCAUUUACAAAGAUAAGUUUUCCUCCCAAAUCUUAUUCUCUUGAUUUGGAAUUUCUUGCUUUUUGAUUGGAGAAAAGAAUUUUCAAAAAACAAAAUUAGGGUUUCGGAAACUCAAAUCUUUGAUUUGAUCUCGAAAUAUUUAUUUCAAAGAUGAUCAGCAUACAGAUCUAUAAGCGCUUAAUCUUUAUCUUGCUAUUGCAAUUAAAAUCUCGAAAGAAUUCAAGAAAAUAUUUCUAGGGUUCUUGAUUUGAAACUCCAGGAAUCUCUCUAUCUUCGUUAAAAAACGGUAUUCAAAAUUCAUAAUCAACAUACAUGAAUCUCUCUUACCCAUAAAGUUGAUUUGAUUUUUGUUUCAUAAAAAGCGAUUUAUGUGAAUGAACUGAUAAUUUCAUGGGCUAGGAAUUUCUAAGAGAAGUACAUCCUUCAUCAACAUCUAAGAGUUGAAUUCAAAAGAGAUAAGUUUUCACCAUCUACUUAAAUUUUUGAUUACUAUAGCUACUGCAAUUAUUAAAAUAGUAGUUUCAACUUAAGCAUGAUUCUUAAUUGUCAUCUGUGAGUGAUUGAAUUAUAAUAUCUCUCUUUACUACUAAAAGCACGAGAUCUUACUGUUUGCAAUGAGCUGACCUCCAAAUGAUAUCUCUGAUUCACAUAUGAGUUGACCUCCAUAUGUUGUCUUUAUUUCAUCUGUGAGAUGACCAUUUUCAGAACUGUUAAUCUGCAACUUUAAAGCUUAAUCCUAUAACUAAGAAUGUGUAUCUAUGAAUAGCCACAAGGACGCCAUGGUAUUUAUUUUAAUCUGAAUGUAGCCUUAAGACCGCCAUGAUCUUGGUUUGAUUUUUUUUUUUAUGUUGGGUGGCAGAGAAGAGGUUCAUCUGUUGCCAAGCUAGAAAUCUCAGGGGUAGAUGGUAUUGUCCAAGUAAAUGGGAAGAUAAUUGAUAAAAAUUCCAGUGUGAUCUUAAAUGCUGAAGAUGAGGUGGUGUUCUGUUCAUCUAGUGAACAUGCUUACAUUUUCCAGCAACUCAAGAAUGAGAGCAUAACUAGUUCAGCUAUGCCUUCUUCCUUGGGCUUAGCAGAAGUACAUGGUCUGCAGCUAGGUCCAGGACCCAACUGUGGCUGGAGCAUCAAUAUUAGCCUCUCUUUCAAAUCUUAGAAAAGAUUUAUCGCUUCUUCCUACCCAAAGAUCCCUCCAUUGUAGAGGCACUACUUCCAAAACACAUAAGUCUUAUUUUCUUGGUUGAAAGCAAUGACAGAGACCGUGUUUUUGAGGCAAUGGAUGAACUGCAGGCGAAGUUUAAUGAGGUAUGUGAUAAUAUCAAACUAAUUAUUUCUCAAUAAUGUGAUUUUGCAGGUUUCCUUGUGGUUUUUGUUUUCCAGAAAACAUACUUGUAUACUGAAAAUGUUAGAAGUUGAACAUCCAACUGAUAAGAGAGCAAAUGAGUUGGUCAGGAAUUAAACACACCCAAGAUCUAUAGUCAGUGAAUACAAACUGGCUACAGAGUGCAUUCUUUUUUGAGGUUAGUAAUGCCUUCUACUUUUUGUGUUUGACGAGAAGGCCAAGGAAUACAUGAGAGCUGAGAACAAAAGAGCUGCAACACAAUGUUUGAAGAGGAAGAGAUUGUACGAACAUGAAGCUGAAAAACUUGGAAAUUUUGGCUUGAAGAGAUAUGAAGCAUGAUUAUACCCAAUUGCAAACCACUAUACCUAAUUGAAGAGAUCUCUUGUAAGAUUUUUAUUUUUCUUAACACAAUAUGUAGGAUUUGAUUCUUUUUUCAACAUUUCGUACGAUUUCCCUGGAUGUAAUAUUGUGCUUAAACUGAAUAGUAAAAAUUUAGGGAAUGAUUUAGUGCUUGCUGGGUAUUCAAAAUGCAUGGAACCCAAAUUUUAACAGGGGUAACUUGAUUUUGUUACUAGGAA